UCAAACCUAGGGUCUGAACCUGGUUGUGCUCGGUCCAUCCGUCCACUGACCACUAAAGACCCAUCCAAGCCAGGCCAAGUUCACAAGCACGCAUCCCCUCUCAUCUCUACAUCUGUGUGAUUAGGGUUUUUCCCAGGGAUUAGGGUUUUUCCCAGGGUUACGAGAGACGGAGGCGCUGGCUGGUUAGGGGAAUGAAACGUCCAAGGUUCAAACCUAAGGUCUGAACCUGGUUGUGCUCGGUCCAUCCGUCCACUGACCACUAAAGACCCAUCCAAGCCAGGCCAAGUUCACAAGCACGCAUCCCCUCUCAUCCUUACAUCUGAUUGUGGGCACGACCUCCCGAUCAAAAGCCUCCCAAUGUGACCCAGGGUUAAGCAGCCCAGGGUUAGAGUGAUUAGGGUUUUACCCAGGGUUACGCCACAGUGGUUACCAAUGGUUAAGUUUAGGGCCAGGGUGGGUAUAGCCACCGGGGGUUACUAACGGGUAGGUUUAGAGCCAGGGUGUGUAUAGCCAUAGGAGUUACUAACUGGUAGGUUUAGGGCCAGGGUUGGUAUAGCCGCUGGGGUUACUAACAGGUAGGGUUUAGAUUCAGGGGUUAGGGUUAGGGUUAGGGUUAGGGUUAGGGUUAGGUUAUAUAGAUAAAUGCGAAGAGUGGUCACUUAUGAAGUGGUCGAACGGGUAGGUUUAGGGCCAGGGUUGGUAUAGCCGCUGGGGUUACUAACGGGUAGGUUUAGAUUGAGGGUGGGUAUAGCCAUAGGAAUUACUAACGGGUAGGUUUAGGGUCCAGGGUUGGUAUAGCCGCUGGGGUUACUAACGGGUAGGUUUAGUGCCAGGGUGGGUAUAGCCAUAAUAGUUACUAACGUGUAGGUUUAGGGUUAGGGUUGGUAUAGAGAGGUUAGGGUUAGGGUUAGGGUUAGGGUUAGGGUUAGGUUAGGGUUAGGAUUAGAAAAAAUCCAAGAGCUGAAGCACAGUCCAGCUCUGGUAAUGCACAGUCCUUCAAUACUCCUUCUGGCCGCUCUCCUGCCUCGGCCAAGGCCUGCCCCCACGGCCUAGGCCCACUACUUCACCACCAAUAUAUUUGGUCUUUUUAACGUUGAACCACAGAUAGUGAGAUUUUUAAUCGUAUAGACGAGUAUUGUUUUCAAUAAUAAAUGUUGUUUUUAUAUAAGGUUU
rnacentral:lncRNA from 1 species